rnacentral:SRP_RNA from 1 species
GCCGGGCGCGGUGGCGCGCGCCUGUAGUCCCAGCUACUCGGGAGGCUGAGGCAGGAGGAUCGCUUGAGCCCAGGAGUUCUGGGCUGUAGUGCGCUAUGCCUAUCGGGUGUCCGCACUAAGUUCGGCAUCAAUAUGGUGACCUCCCGGGAGCGGGGGACCACCAGGUUGCCUAAGGAGGGGUGAACCGGCCCAGGUCGGAAACGGAGCAGGUCAAAACUCCCGUGCUGAUCAAAAUGAGGCAGCAUUGUCCUAUGCCAUCUCUACUUUUAAGGUACCAA